UACGGAGGGUGCAAGCGUUAUCCGGAUUCACUGGGUUUAAAGGGUGCGUAGGGGGGUUGGUAAGUCAGUGGUGAAAUCUCCGGGCUUAACCUGGAAACUGCCAUUGAUACUAUCAAUCUUGAAUACCUUGGAGGUGAGCGGAAUAUGUCAUGUAGCGGUGAAAUGCUUAGAUAUGACAUAGAACACCAAUUGCGAAGGCAGCUCACUACACGGUCAUUGACACUGAGGCACGAAAGCGUGGGGAUCAAACAGG
rnacentral:rRNA from 1 species